rnacentral:rRNA from 1 species
GACGAACGCUGGCGGCGUGCCUAACACAUGCAAGUCGAGCGGGGUUGAAGCGAGAGGUAACUCGAACUUCUACCUAGCGGCGGACGGGUGAGUAACGCGUGGGCAACCUGCCUCAAGGUCUGGGAUAACAGCCCGAAAGGGCUGCUAAUACCGGGUAUGCUUGUGGCCUCGCAUGGGGCUACGAGCAAAGGGGAAACCCGCCUUGAGAUGGGCCCGCGUCCCAUCAGCUAGUUGGUGAGGUAACAGCUCACCAAGGCGACGACGGGUAGCCGGCCUGAGAGGGUGACCGGCCACACUGGGACUGAGACACGGCCCAGACUCCUACGGGGGGCAGCAGUGGGGGAUCUUGCACAAUGGGCGAAAGCCUGAUGCAGCGACGCCGCGUGAGCGAAGAAGGCCUUCGGGUUGUAAAGCUCUGUCUGGAGGGACGAAGGAAGUGACGGUACCUCCGGAGGAAGCCACGGCUAACUACGUG